rnacentral:misc_RNA from 1 species
AAGUCGUAACAAGGUCUCCGUAGGUGAACCUGCGGAAGGAUCAUUAACACGUAUCCACGUAUCCACCCCUCGUGCACUGUUUUCACCCCUCCCUAGGGAGAUUCGACAGGAGUUGGAAGGGAGCUCGAGCGUUUGAAUGAGAAAAGCGGUUUCAGCCGCUUUUCGGCUCGGGUUCCCCCAUCAGCUGGCGCACGCUCAGCGUACAACUGGAGUCGACUCACUAGGCACUAUUCUUCUUAUGCGAGCAGCUCUCCAUUCAAGAGGUGUUCGGAUAGGAUGCAUAACCACCUUUUUCACCCCCUUUUUGCUAGUUGACUUUUUAUAUGUUGUUACGUUGCUGAUUCCUUUCUGCUCGUGGCACACGUUUAAUUACUUGAACGUUAAAAGAAACAACUCUUAGCAAUGGAUAUCUAGGUUCUC